GGGGAAUAUUGGACAAUGGGCGGAAGCCUGAUCCAGCAACGCCGCGUGAGGGAUGACGGCCUUCGGGUUGUAAACCUCUUUCGGUAGGGACGAAGCGCAAGUGACGGUACCUACUAAAGAAGCACCGGCCAACUACGUGCCAGCAGCCGCGGUAAUACGUAGGGUGCGAGCGUUGUCCGGAAUUAUUGGGCGUAAAGGGCUCGUAGGCGGUUUGUCGCGUCGGGAGUGAAAACCAGGUGCUUAACACCUGGCUUGCUUUCGAUACGGGCAGACUAGAGGUAUUCAGGGGAGAACGGAAUUCCUGGUGUAGCGGUGAAAUGCGCAGAUAUCAGGAGGAACACCGGUGGCGAAGGCGGUUCUCUGGGAAUAUCCUGACGCUGAGGAGCGAAAGUGUGGGGAGCGAA
rnacentral:rRNA from 1 species